rnacentral:rRNA from 1 species
UUAUCGGAGAGUUUGAUCCUGGCUCAGGACGAACGCUGGCGGCGUGCCUUAUACAUGCAAGUCGAGCGGACAGAUGGGAGCUU